GACGAACGCUGGCGGCGUGCUUAACACAUGCAAGUCGAGCGGUAAGGCCCUUUCGGGGUACGACGAGCGGCGAACGGGUGAGUAACACGUGGGUGACCUGCCCUUAGCUCUGGGAUAAGCCUGGGAAACUGGGUCUAAUACCGGAUAUGACUCCAUGACGCAUGUUGUGGGGUGGAAAGCCUUGUGCGGCUAGGGAUGGGCCCGCGGCCUAUCAGCUUGUUGGUGGGGUGAUGGCCUACCAAGGCGACGACGGGUAGCCGGCCUGAGAGGGCGACCGGCCACACUGGGACUGAGACACGGCCCAGACUCCUACGGGAGGCAGCAGUGGGGAAUCUUGCGCAAUGGGCGAAAGCCUGACGCAGCGACGCCGCGUGAGGGAU
rnacentral:rRNA from 1 species